rnacentral:rRNA from 1 species
GACGAACGCUGGCGGCGUGCUUAACACAUGCAAGUCGAACGAAGAGCGAUGGAAGCUUGCUUCUAUCAAUCUUAGUGGCGCACGGGUGAGUAACGCGUAGUCAACCUGCCCUUCAGAGGGGGACAACAGUUGGAAACGACUGCUAAUACCGCAUACGAUCUAAUCUCGGCAUCGAGGAAAGAUGAAAGGUGGCCUCUAUUUAUAAGCUAUCACUGAAGGAGGGGAUUGCGUCUGAUUAGCUAGUUGGAGGGGUAACGGCCCACCAAGGCGAUGAUCAGUAGCCGGUCUGAGAGGAUGAACGGCCACAUUGGGACUGAGACACGGCCCAGACUCCUACGGGAGGCAGCAGUGGGGAAUCUUCCGCAAUGGACGAAAGUCUGACGGAGCAACGCCGCGUGAGUGAUGACGGCCUUCGGGUUGUAAAGCUCUGUUAAUCGGGACGAAAGGCCUUCUUGCGAACAGUUAGAAGGAUUGACGGUACCGGAAUAGAAAGCCACGGCUAACUACGUG